rnacentral:rRNA from 1 species
AGGGUUCGAUUCUGGCUCAGGACGAACGCUGGCGGCGUGCUUAACACAUGCAAGUCGAACGAGAGGACAAGAGAAGCUUGCUUCUUUUGGAAUCGAGUGGCAAACGGGUGAGUAACGCGUAAACAACCUGCCCUCCGGAUGGGGACAACAGCUGGAAACGGCUGCUAAUACCGAAUACGAUCUAAAGGCCGCAUGACCUUUAGAAGAAAAGAUGGCCACUGAAUAUGCUAUCGCCGGAAGAGGGGUUUGCGUCUGAUUAGCUAGUUGGAGGGGUAACGGCCCACCAAGGCAAUGAUCAGUAGCCGGUCUGAGAGGAUGAACGGCCACAUUGGAACUGAGACACGGUCCAG